CCCAUUUUCUACAAGUUGAUAUGAUUCUUUAGGGGUCAUAAUGAAAAGUCUAUACCAUACUUUGGUUAACAUUUCUCAAUGGUAGUGUAAAACAACACAGUUUUUACCUUGUCAA